AGCCUGCUCACUCCUAUCGGCAGAAGUCCACAAAGCACAGGUCUGCUUUUGCACAGGGGGACGGGCUGCGCGUGAAUGGUUCAUGUCCCGCAGCGCUCACCGCAGUUUUGGCUUUCUUUCUUUUCGUCUGUGCUUGCGUGUGCCUCUAACGUCACCGCAGGCUCUGCUCUAACUGCGCUCGCUCCCUUUUUGGACGCCAUACAGCUUCACGCCUCUUCUCCGAAGCAGGGUAGCCCACCCAAUCUCCCCUGCGCGUUUAGCCAUGUUCUCUCGCACGGUCUUCCGUUGUGCCCCUGCCGUCGAGGACAUUGUGGCUGCGUUCAAGGUGCUCGGCCUCACGUACAAUCCACGCGCACCGGCAUCUAGUCGACCCGGAGUGGACGACGUGCGGCGGCAGUACCUCGAGAUGGCACGGCUGCACCACCCCGAUUUGAGCAGCGGCGAUGACAAUCGCAUGAAGGUGAUUAAUACGGCCUAUGAGCUUAUUCAGUCCAGCGGCAUUUUGCACAGCGCUUACGACGCACCGGCAGGUGCAAGAGAGGGCGUAGCCGGACAGCAAGGUGGCGAAGCCAGAACUGCGACUCGCUUUGCACGCAAGGCUGGCGCGCGUCGACGCCGCAUGCCAGACGACUUUGCCAGCGGUGACGACUCCUCCUGGUCGAUGAAGACGUCGCUGGACUGGCAAGCGAUUAUGAACAGCACCGAAACCCUCUCCGAGGAAGAGAUGAAGAACCCUGCCAACCACCCUUUUAGUCACAGCAAGUUCUUCACUUUCGAGGAUGAUCUCACAAUCUACCGCAUGAUCCGUGGCGGUGCCACCGUGCGACAGGUGUCCAGGUCGCUGGGCAAGCCAGCGACGUUCAUUGAGCGACGCCUUCAGAAUGCGCAGUUCAAGUUGCGAGUACAGUACGUCCUUCGACAGGACAAGCGCAAAUCGGCUGCUGCCUCGUCGGGCUCCAUGCGGCAAACCACCUCGACCCCGAUCACGGAGCCAGCUACACGUCGCGCGCUUCGCCGCUCUCCGUACGAGGACGCGCAUGUCGGCAGCACCGCUGCCGCAUUCAGCAGCCCCGUGCGAAAGCGCGAGUGGGAGCCAUCGUACCCGGAGUGGCGGGCGCCGCGCUACCGUGAUCAAAUGACGCUGGAGGAGCAGGGAAGGCUCGACGGCCUCCUCCGCGAGACGCCUCGCGCCGCCCAUGCGGCCGGUAAAUCAGCAUCAUCGCCGCACUGUGCCGUGCACUGUGCUGCUUCCAAGAUGGGCCGCUCGUACGAGAACUACAAGCGGUUGAGACCCAACUUGUGAAAAGGUUUGGCAACGCUGGUUGGUGCUGCUCACGGGUCUCUCUCACGUGCACGUUUGUGUGUGUCUGCCUGCGUGCAUGGUGGUACAUGUCACUGAGGCGGAAAGCAGGAGUUACCAUAGAAGCAGACGUGUGGGGUGCUGCUGUUGUUCACAUUUUACAUAAGCCAAGCUAUGGUGCACGAUG
rnacentral:misc_RNA from 1 species